UCGUAACCUGCGNNNNNNNAGAAACUCGCGAACACNNAGUUAACACUCGGGGAUCCAAGCGCGUCCUCCCCGGGGGACGCCCUUUCUCCCCAAAUUCGGGGCGGCUCGGUGCUCGUUGCUCGUUGGCGGCGCGCCCGUCGCGAGCUUACGGCCUCCGGGCCUUCCCGACACAACAAAAAACCGGCGCGGAAUGCGCCAAGGAAAAUGAAAGAGAGUGCGCCUGUCCGACUUCGGCUCGCGCUGCGCUCGGACGGGCGUCGUCUUCUUGAUGAGUUUAUAAUGACUCUCGGCAACGGAUAUCUCGGCUCUUACAUCGAUGAAGAACGUAGCAAAAUGCGAUACUUGGUGUGAAUUGCAGAAUCCCGUGAACCAUNGAGUCUUUGAACGCAAGUUGCGCCCGAAUCCAUCUGGUUGAGGGCNCGUCUGCCUGGGUGUCACGUACGCACGCCUCCCGCAAACCUUCCCAUUUUUUGUGGACGAAGGGUCUCGCGGGAGCAGAUAUUGGUAUCCCGUGCCCGUUCCGCGCGGCUUGCCUAAAAAYGGAGAUCCGGCGGCGAAACGUCANGUCUAGUGGUGGUUGAUGAGGCCUAACGGCCGACCAGUUCGCGGCGUGAUCGUUUGUCGCACGGAAGUCUCGGACGACACCUUGGACGCCCUCUAACGGGCGUGCUACUGNA
rnacentral:rRNA from 1 species